GAACAAAGGUAGCAGGCGGGGGCCUCAGCUCCUUACUUCCAGGACAAAAGCUGCUUCUGAUCCAUAAUAAUAAUGUGGACAUGGGAACUCUCAUAUUCUAAAGGGUGAUGUCCUAAUCUUAAGCAGUUUUGGAAGUCGCUGCGAACUUGGUUGUCAAUAGGACAGAUGACUCCAGCUGCUUAUGCGGGGAAAGGGCUUAGGAAAGUGAGACACGGUGCUUCUGAGAAUUUGGGGGGCAGCGUGGGAGCUAUGGUUCCAGGAUGCACAGAACUGACCUCCCGAGAACACUUUCUAUGCAACGCUGGCCUGGCAGCACUGGAGGAACCUGCUGGGGUAGCCUCACCGAUCCCCCAGGAUCUGACCCCGCUGCCCUCCUGGAAAGCCCAGCACUUCGGCCACAGCUCGGGGCAGAAAGGGGACUCAGUUUUACUUCGGCCUCCUGAGGGAAGGAAACUGGAGUGUAACACAGGAAACCCUCUGACACCAAUGGGUCACCCAGAAAAAGAAAAAAUCUGGAUGUUUGGAGAUCUGAAAUCGGAUCCUUGGAGUUUUCUGUGAAAUCUCCUGCUUUUGAAACGUUGAAGAUGGAUUUUAAAAUUCUGAGACUGUUUUACCAAUGGAAACAUAUCUGUGAGCUGGACAAAGCCUUUAAGUUAAAAGAGAAAUACA